UACGUAGGGGGCUAGCGUUGUCCGGAUUUAUUGGGCGUAAAGAGCGUGUAGGCGGCCAUGUAGGUCCGGUGUGAAAACUCGAGGCUUAACCUCGAGAUGUCAUCGGAAACCAUUUGGCUAGAGUCCGGAAGAGGAAAGUGGAAUUCCUGGUGUAGCGGUGAAAUGCGCAGAUAUCAGGAAGAACACCAAUGGCGAAAGCAGCUUCUUGG
rnacentral:rRNA from 1 species